GAUGAACGCUAGCUACAGGCUUAACACAUGCAAGUCGAGGGGAAACGACAUCGGAAGCUUGCUUUUGAUGGGCGUCGACCGGCGCACGGGUGAGUAACGCGUAUCCAACCUGCCCAUCACUUGGGAAUAACCUUGCGAAAGUAAGACUAAUACCCAAUGAUAUCCCACGAAGGCAUCGGAAUGGGAUUAAAGAUUUAUCGGUGAUGGAUGGGGAUGCGUCUGAUUAGCUUGUUGGCGGGGUAACGGCCCACCAAGGCAACGAUCAGUAGGGGUUCUGAGAGGAAGGUCCCCCACAUUGGAACUGCGGCACGGACCAAACCCCUACGGGAGGCAGCAGUGAGGAAUAUUGGUCAAUGGGCGAGAGCCUGAACCAGCCAAGUAGCGUGCAGGAAGACGGCCCUAGGGGUUGUAAACUGCUUUUAUAAGGGAAUAAAGUGGGUCACGUGUGACUUUUUGCAUGUACCUUAUGAAUAAGGACCGGCUAAUUCCGUG
rnacentral:rRNA from 1 species